CUACGGGAGGCUCCAGUCGAGAAUCAUUCGCAAUGCACGAAAGUGUGACGAUGCGACGCUGCGUGGAGGAUGAAGGCCCUAGGGUCGUAAACUCCUGUCAGAAGGGAAAAGACAGUAGUGGGUCAAUACCCCAUUGCUCCGAUGGUACCUUCAGAGGAAGCCACGGCUAACUCUGUGCCAGCAGCCGCGGUAAUACAGAGGUGGCGAGCGUUGUUCGGAUUUACUGGGCGUAAAGGGUCCGCAGGGGGUUUGCCAAGUCUGGUGUGAAAUCUCACAGCUCAACCGUGAAACUGCGCUGGAUACUGGUGAACUAGAGUGCGCGAGGGGUGAGUGGAAUUCCUGGUGUAGCGGUGGAAUGCGUAGAUAUCAGGAAGAACACCAACGGCGAAGGCAGCUCACUGGCGCGCAACUGACCCUCAUGGACGAAAGCGUGGGUAGCAAACGGGAUUAGAUACCCCAGUAGUC
rnacentral:rRNA from 1 species